rnacentral:rRNA from 1 species
UACGGAGGAUGCAAGCGUUAUCCGGAAUGAUUGGGCGUAAAGCGUCCGCAGGUGGCUGUGUAAGUCUGCUGUCAAAGAGCAAAGCUCAACUUUGUAAAGGCAGUGGAAACUACACGGCUAGAGUGCGUUCGGGGCAGAGGGAAUUCCUGGUGUAGCGGUGAAAUGCGUAGAGAUGUGGAGGAACACCGAUGGCGAAGGCAGCCCCCUGGGCUAACACUGACGCUCAUGCACGAAAGCGUGGGGAGCAAACAGG